UACGUAGGUGACCAGCGUUGUCCGGAUUUACUGGGCGUAAAGAGCGCGCAGGCGGUCGUUCAAGUCGAGUGUGAAAGCCCCCGGCUCAACUGGGGAGGGUCAUUCGAUACUGAUCGACUCGAAGGCAGGAGAGGGAAGUGGAAUUCCCGGUGUAGUGGUGAAAUGCGUAGAUAUCUGCAGGAACACCCGUGGCGAAAGCGGCUCACUGGACCAUAACUGACGCUGAUGCACGAAAGCUAGGGGAGCAAACAGG
rnacentral:rRNA from 1 species